rnacentral:lncRNA from 1 species
CAUAAAUAAACUCGCGUCAGUUCAGGUGCUCUGUCGCCAAAUACGUUCACAACUGAAUAAGUUUUACAGUCAAAUGAGUUAGGAAAAAUCUUUCAGACUUGAGAGCUUUUUGGAUUUCGGAAUGACGGACAUGGGUUUGUGGACCUGGCGGAGUCUGUUUACACUUUUGGCCCCCUGGGAACUACUGGGCUAGAGGAUGACAGCACAAGACUGUGGCAGCUGACUCAGAAGCAAAGUGACCAGGGAUCCUGGGGAAGAUUCUCCAUUUGAGGACUGGGUUGAUAAAUCGCCCCUACGGCAGACAGUGGCUGUUCAGGGCACGGAAAUGGCAGUUUCAUUUUAUUUAGACUAGGGGCAACAGCAGAGGGAAGAUUCUAGUUUGCUGCACGGCACUGCUCUGGUUGUCACUGCAGUGCCCUGAAGUGGACUGAGAACCAGAGACCCAGUGUCAGGACCAGCAGAACACCGGGACCCGAGCAAGCUGCUGACCUGCAGACCUGCUUCCUCUCAUGGAAAAGAAACAAAACAGACACUUUUACUGAGCACUGACUGCCAUGUGCCUGGAAAGUGCGAAACAAGGCUAUACCACUGCCUGAGAUGAAGAAUGACCUGAUCAAAGCCUCUACCUUGGGAAUCUGUUUAGCCUAGGUUCCUAAAACUCAGAACCUAAGAACAAAGAAUUCGGAGAACACAUCCAAAAAAGAAAAAGUAAUACAUUCUGCCUGAGGAGUUGGAGGAGCCUGGAGGAACUCACAGAAGUGGUGGCAUUCAAGGAAAGCCUUAGAAGGAAAGAAAGUCACCAAGCAGAGGAGGUGGGGGAGGACAUUCGAUAAUGAGAGUGGAAACAGCACACAGUGUGGCAGCGAGGAGCACAUGGUGUGUCCAUGGAAGGACUAUGAGUUGUGGAGGAAAAACAGUAUUUGAUAUGAGGCUCAGAGGGCGAGAACUGCAGACCCCAGAGGCCUGCGAUGCGAGGUGCACAGGUGAGUGGGGGAGGGGAAGGGGACGGUGGUGGUGGUGGGAAUGGGAGGUGUUGGGGGAGCUGCAGGUUGGGUUCCAUGCUGGGUCCAGGCUCCCAUCAGCAUCUGCGCAUCAAACCCAACUGCAUUUUGGGGGACAGUCAUUUUCUAACUUGAUUUGUGUAGGUCUUCAAAGUCUUGAUCGCUGUCUUUCUCGAACCAUAUCAAUAGGAAGCCUAGUUACCUUUCCCACAUUUCAGGAAGGGAUCAGGGAGUC